rnacentral:rRNA from 1 species
AGAGUUUGAUCAUGGCUCAGGACGAACGCUGGCGGCGUGCCUAACACAUGCAAGUCGAACGAGAAUCUUUGAACAGAUCUUUUCGGAGUGACGUUUAAAGAGGAAAGUGGCGGACGGGCGAGUAACGCGUGAGUAACCUGCCCAUAAGAGGGGGAUAAUCCAUGGAAACGUGGACUAAUACCGCAUAUUGUAGUCAAGUCGCAUGACUAGAUUAUGAAAGAUUUAUCGCUUAUGGAUGGACUCGCGUCAGAUUAGAUAGUUGGUGAGGUGACGGCUCACCAAGUCAACGAUCUGUAGCCGAACUGAGAGGUUGAUCGGCCGCAUUGGGACUGAGACACGGCCCAGACUCCUACGGGAGGCAGCAGUGGGGAAUAUUGCGCAAUGGGGGCAACCCUGACGCAGCAACGCCGCGUGCAGGAAGAAGGUCUUCGGAUUGUAAACUGUUGUCGCAAGGGAAGAAGACAGUGACGGUACCUUGUGAGAAAGUCACGGCUAACUACGUGCCAGCAGCCGCGGUAAUACGUAGGUGACAAGCGUUGUCCGGAUUUACUGGGUGUAAAGGGCGCGUAGGCGGACUGUCAAGUCAGUCGUGAAAUACCGGGGCUUAACCCCGGGGCUGCGAUUGAAACUGACAGCCUUGAGUAUCGGAGAGGAAAGCGGAAUUCCUAGUGUAGCGGUGAAAUGCGUAGAUAUUAGGAGGAACACCGGUGGCGAAGGCGGCUUACUGGGCUUUUACUGACGCUGAGGCUCGAAAGCGUGGGGAGCAAACAGGAUUAGACACCCUGGUAGUCCACGCUGUAAACGAUGAUUACUAGGUGUGGGGGGACUGACCCCUUCCGUGCCGCAGUUAACACAAUAAGUAAUCCACCUGGGGAGUACGGCCGCAAGGUUGAAACUCAAAGGAAUUGACGGGGGCCCGUACAAGCAGUGGAGUAUGUGGUUUAAUUCGAAGCAACGCGGAGAACCUUACCAGGUCUUGACAUCGAGUGCAUAACUAAGAGAUUAGUGAAAUCCCUUCGGGGACACUUAGACAGGUGGUGCAUGGUUGUCGUCAGCUCGUGUCGUGAGAUGUUGGGUUAAGUCCCGCAACGAGCGCAACCCUUACCUUUAGUUGCUACGCAAGAGCACUCUAAAGGGACUGCCGUUGACAAAACGGAGGAAGGUGGGGAUGACGUCAAAUCAUCAUGCCCCUUAUGACCUGGGCUACACACGUACUACAAUGGCAAUCAACAAAGAGAAGCAAGACAGUGAUGUGGAGCAAAUCUCAAAAAAUUGUCCCAGUUCAGAUUGUAGGCUGCAACUCGCCUACAUGAAGUCGGAAUUGCUAGUAAUCGCGGAUCAGAAUGCCGCGGUGAAUACGUUCCCGGGCCUUGUACACACCGCCCGUCACACCAUGGGAGUCGGUAACACCCGAAGUCGGUAGUCUAACAGCAAUGAGGACGCCGCCGAAGGUGGGAUUGAUGACUGGGGUGAAGUCGUAACAAGGUA